UUUAGACGUAGCUCUUGUUUACCGAGAAAUUAAAUUAUUUUAUGGACUUUUUUCAUCUUUAUCAUUUAUAGUCAUAAAAUAUUUUUUCCAUAUUUAUGUGGCUAUCAGCAAAACUCGUAUCCGACAGUCUCUUCAUCUUCACAUCACCAUCGAUGAAAGAAAAGACCUUUUAUCCCUUCUCUCUUCUCUUGUAAAGUUUGCCUAAUUAUUAGGCUUGGUGUUAAUGGAGCUUCAUUGAGAAUUGACGAUGGUGGAGGCGUAUGAGCGGCGCCGCUUCGGAACUUUAGCGGCGGUGACUUGAACGGAGUUUGAUGAUUGCAAUCGUCAACCACGAUGGUGGACUUGGGAGAAAAAAAAAACAGAUGAAAAACUAGAAGGAAAGAAUGAAAAUUGAAAAAGUUAAUCAAUUGAUUAAUUAUUAAUUAUUUUUAAUUAAUCCUAAUUAAAAGAAACUGAAAAAUUAAAUUAAAUAAACUUUAAACAAUUUUGGACACAUGGCAUAAUUUUAUUGGUCGUUAAUAAAAGUGUAAAAUUUUAACCCUAUUAGUCAAGCACGUAUAAAAGGUAGGAAGUUAGAUUGAUUAUUUUCAAAUUUACAUGUAAUUAUAUCUAAAAAUAAGUUUACUUACAAGUAACAAUAA